CGGGGAGUAGCUCAGCAUGGUGGAGCACAGCGUUCGGGACGCUGGGGUCGCAGGUUCAAAUCCUGUCUCCCCGACCA
rnacentral:tRNA from 1 species